rnacentral:rRNA from 1 species
UACGUAGGCAGCAAGCGUUGUUCGGAGUUACUGGGCGUAAAGGGUGUGUAGGCGGUUAUUUAAGUUUGGGGUGAAAUCUCCCGGCUCAACCGGGAGGGUGCGCCGAAUACUGAAUGACUUGGAGUGCGGGAGAGGAAAGUGGAAUUCCUGGUGUAGCGGUGAAAUGCGUAGAUAUCAGGAGGAACACCGGUGGUGUAGACGGCUUUCUGGACCGUAACUGACGCUGAGACACGAAAGCGUGGGUAGCAAACAGG